UGCAUCGCCUGAUAACUGAGAAGUAUUAACGUAUGAGUAGCUAAUAAAUUUUGAGAUUGUUGCUUUCAAUCAAAUAAAAUAAUCUGUGCUUAAAACAGAGCUGCAGAUUCGGAUCAUAACAAUUUUGAAAUGACAUUUCUAGCUUUUGGGUUGCAGUUGAAUGUCGGUGCAAUUUUGAAAAGCAACGGAGCGAGCAGAUGUCCAAAAAAGUUAAGAUAAAUAGUCAUAUGACAACGGCAAAUAAUUUGCAGCCUGCAAGGAUAUUGCAUAAGAAGUCGGUGGCAAAAAUAGUCAAUUAGAUCAUCACAUGAUAAAAUGACUCGCUUCGUUAAAGCCUAAACAAAAUACGUUUAUAUCUUAAAUUCUGCUGGAAUAUCUUAUCAAACCCCGCACAGCUUACAAUCUAAUCUACAUGUGGCAGUCUCUUUUCAUGGUUCUUUUCAAGAAAACUCCUUGACUUUUCAAUUGUUUUAGUUGCAAGUACAAAACAAUGAUUAAAUUGCUUGCGUUCACACUUUGUUUCGCUGCUCUAUUCUAACACCUAUAGUGUGCUCAAGAAAUCUCAAUGCGAUACAUUCUCAAAAAAAAUUUACCCAUGUGUAAGGGCUUUUUUAAUACUUUCCUAAGGGUGGAUGAGAUUGCAUAACAUUUGAAGAUUACUUAACCGUAAGUUGAUCAAAAUGAAAAUCUCCCUUGGAAAAAGAUGCAUUGUCUCAAAAUAUAAACAUCAACAGCAACCCUAACAUAUUUAAACCUUAUUGUCAACCUGAAAGACAGUGCAGGCACAGUUUUAAUUGGUUAUUUGGUUAAUAAUUUCGCUUCCAUCUUUUAGAAAAGCAAUGCCAUUGUCCUGAAGUGGCAUAGGGUGAAAGUCACCGUGCGAGAUAAACGUUUUUCUCCCCUAGGGAGCGGCAAAAAGAACGCUAUCAAGCCCUGCGCAACAUAGAACAGAGCCGUCGGAAGCGGGGAGUUUGUGGCUGGAGCUGUAGUGAUGGAAGAAAAUCAAUACGAUAACAGAUUUAAAGAUUAAUAUUGGAAGCUUCAGUAUUUGAUAUGGAAUUGUCGUCAUUGGAUGACAGAUAAGCCUGGCUACUCUUUGUGUCUCAUUCAGCAAGCGAUAUCAGAAAUACGUGAUGAAUAUUUCCAUAAACCACAGGAUGGUGAUGAAAAUGACAAAGAUAAAAUAUCCAAACUACAUUAGCUUACAUCAUUUUUUAUCACUACCUGAGCGUAACACUUUUAUCAUUUAAUUUGCCUGUUAUUUUGAUAGGAAAUCUACUUGUUCUGAAGCCUGCCACCUUGCCUCUUAGUCACUUAGGCGUCUUUGUAAUCUGCAUAUCCAUAUUUUUCAUACUUUUUUCUUUUCUUAACAGCCAAAAUUGUACAGUCAAUGUAGAUAAUAAAAGUGUUAUAUUAUGAAUAAAAUCACCCUUAUUCAAUCUCUUAAUGCUUCUGUUUGUUGGAGAAAUUGUUUGUUUGGAGCCACUUUUAAAUAUUUAUUACGAGGGUUCUAGAAUCGUGUGCAUAUCACAGAAGAACUACUUAAAUUUUUUUAUGACAAAGAGAUUUUCAAUACCUCCUAUCAACUAUGAUACUUUUUGGAAAGCAGAUAUUC